rnacentral:rRNA from 1 species
GUUAGAUUACCGGAGGUAAAGCACUGAAUGGUUUAGGGGCUGAUAAAGUUACCGACGCCUAUCAAACUAAGAAUGCCGGCUAAUUGAUGCAUAGCAGUCAGACAGUGUGAGAUAAGUUUCAUUGUCAAAAGGGAAACAGCCCAGACCCACAGCUAAGGUCCCUAAUAUACGCUAAGUGGAAAACGAUGUGGAGUUGCGAAAACAACCAGGAUG